AUUGAACGCUGGCGGCAUGCCUUACACAUGCAAGUCGAACGGUAACAGGUCUUCGGACGCUGACGAGUGGCGAACGGGUGAGUAAUACAUCGGAACGUGCCCGAUCGUGGGGGAUAACGAGGCGAAAGCUUUGCUAAUACCGCAUACGAUCUACGGAUGAAAGCGGGGGAUCUUCGGACCUCGCGCGGACGGAGCGGCCGAUGGCAGAUUAGGUAGUUGGUGGGAUAAAAGCUUACCAAGCCGACGAUCUGUAGCUGGUCUGAGAGGAUGAUCAGCCACACUGGGACUGAGACACGGCCCAGACUCCUACGGGAGGCAGCAGUGGGGAAUUUUGGACAAUGGGCGAAAGCCUGAUCCAGCCAUGCCGCGUGCAGGAUGAAGGCCUUCAGGUUGUAAACUGCUUUUGUACGGAACGAAAAGCCUCUUUCUAAUAAAGAGGGGUCAUGACGGUACCGUAAGAAUAAGCACCGGCUAACUACGUGCCAGCAGCCGCGGUAAUACGUAGGGUGCAAGCGUUAAUCGGAAUUACUGGGCGUAAAGCGUGCGCAGGCGGUUUUGUAAGACAGAGGUGAAAUCCCCGGGCUCAACCUGGGAACUGCCUUUGUGACUGCAAGGCUGGAGUGCGGCAGAGGGGGAUGGAAUUCCGCGUGUAGCAGUGAAAUGCGUAGAUAUGCGGAGGAACACCGAUGGCGAAGGCAAUCCCCUGGGCCUGCACUGACGCUCAUGCACGAAAGCGUGGGGAGCAAACAGG
rnacentral:rRNA from 1 species